AAUAAUUGAGGGAAAAUAGAGCUUCGUUUGUGGCGUUUCGAGUCUCUCUCUCAGACUCUCUUUUGUUCUCUUCUUCCUCUCGCGAUUUCCGGCGAGCUUCCCCGCCGUGAAUGCCGUCGCGAUCCCUCUCUAAUCACCACCACGUAAACACCAACCCCCACUCAUUUCUGAUCCUUAACACGAACCCCUUAUCAAUUUCCCUUGAAGGGUACGCAAACGACCGGAUCGAAGGAUCCAAACAAUUAACCCUAAAUCUUCCUAAUCGUGAAACCCGGAGGUAACUCAAGCCAUAGCCUUAAAGCUCUAAGCACAAUCAAAGGAGGUGUAAGAUCGAUGAAUACGAAGAGAGAAGAAGGUGCUCGGAGACUUACAUGAAGUAAUGGUCGAGAUUGACGAUUGAGAAUACCAGAGGGGAAGAUCCAGCAGCUUGACGCGGAGGAGGCACGAAGUGAACGCGAGAAAUAUGAAGUUCUUCUGUGUUGUGCGAUGAUGAAGAUUGAUGAUUGUAGCUUGCAGAAUCUUGAAAUUGCUGAGUGGUGAAUGAAGAAGAUGAUGAGAGUGAAUCGAGAGCUUAAAGUUGCAGCGAUGAAGAAGUGUGGAUUUGUGGAGAGUGAAGGUCAUGCCAAUGGUGUAGAAGUUGCAGAAUAUGAGAGAUGAUGAUGGUGAUUUGUGGAGUGAGGAGAUGGAGAAUGAAGAUGGGAGGGUGAAAGUGUGGAGAUGAAUGAAGUGAAGAAGAUUGUGUGAAGAAGUGGUUGAAGAUCAAUGAAGAAAAAUGGUGGAGCUUUGAAGUGAAGCUGAGUUUUGGUUUUAUAGAGAGUCCAGGAUGGUAAAUUGUGUAUGGGGUUUGGAUAAAAUGCAAUUGGGUUGUUUUGUAGGGUUAUUGAUGUGAUUAGUAUGGCUGUACUGAAUGGUUGAUGGCUUGUGUGGAUUAUUGGCGAGGUUUCUUGAUAUGUUUGAAUUGUAUGGUGAAUAAUGCAGGAUAAUUAAAAUUGAAAACUUGAAUUGAAAUUGAAGGUUGAUAUUGAAGUAAAUGAAGGUAAACUGUUAGUUGUUGCAUACUGUUUUGCUUUCUUUUCUCAAUCAACUGAUGCAGCUUCUCCUACUCUGAGUUUUCUUGUUAUGGCAGGUCUUGGAUGAUGUGUGUAUGCUGCAGGUUUGGAAUAGUGCAGCAAAAUUGACUUGCAGCAGAUACAUGGUUGAGGAUGGGCAUAAGAUGAUCUAUGGACUCUGCCAGUUGCAGAAGUGAAGGAGGAGAUGCUGGAAAUCUGAAUAGGAGGACCUGAACCGAAACAAGAUUCAGAAUAGGAUUCUAAUAUCAUGUUUUGAGUUCUAAUUUGUGCGGAUGUAAUGAUACUGUAGCAGAAUUGGAGUGGUUGAAGAAUAUAUUUUUUUGAAUUUGUAAUGGAUGUUGUAUGGUGUAUUGAGAUUUGUAAUGAAAUUUGGAAACUUGUAAUGAAUGGAUUGGAAUGUGAAAUAUGUAAUAGUUUUGAAUAGAAAUGGUAUAUAUAUUUUCCAUAUUCUCAAACAAA